GUUUAUACGUUUAACAGGAUUGUAUGAUGUCAAAAUAGCUUGUCAAAUACAUGUACAUCUGUCUCCAUGGCCAGUGACAAGGGCCGUAACCAAGGAAGCAGAAGGUCGCAGGUUGGAGUCUCAUAUUGGGCUCGUUCUUACGUUGCCAGUUGCCUACACAGAAGAUUGAUAAAUCAGGCGAUACAAGUUAUAUUCCUUCCAUUGGGGCCCGACAUUAAGACGGAGUUCUUGAUGUUCAAACCUUGCCCCAAUUGCAUUUUGGUGCUGAGAUAUGGGAUGAAUACAAAAUUGAAGGAAAUCAGCAAGUUGAAG